rnacentral:rRNA from 1 species
UCGCCUGUUUUAUCAAAAACAUGGCCAAAAAUAAAAUUUUGGUCGAUCUNCCCGGUGUCAAUAAACGGCCGCAGUAUCCUGACUGUGCUAAGGUAGCAUAAUCAUUAGCUUUUUCAUUGGAAGCUUGUAUGAAAGACUUGACGAAGAAAUAUCUGUCUCCUAUACACUAUAAAUUUACCUAAAAAGUAAAAAGGCUUUUUAAGCUCAAAAAGACGACAAGACCCUAUAAAACUUUACCUCCAGAAUAGUGGCAGCCUGAGAUUUUAUAGUCUAUUCCAGGGGUUGAGCUGGGGCGGCUAUAAUUAUUCUAAACAACUAUUAACUCAACGGUUUGGCCGAAGUUUAAGAGCGCUUUGCAAUUUAAAACAAGUUACUUUAGGGAUAACAGCACAAUACUCUUUUAGAGUUCCUAUCGAAAAGAUUGCGUGUGACCUCGAUGUUGAAUUGGAAAGUCUAAGCAAAGCAGCAUUUGUUUGAAGAAAGUCUGUUCGACUUUUGAAUUUUUACAUGAUUUGA